GUUAAUAUUCCCGUACUUGGUGUUACUGCGAAGGGGGGACGGAGAAGGCUAUGUUGGCCGGGCGACGGUUGUCCCGGUUUAAGCGUGUAGGUGUGUGUUCCAGGUAAAUCCGGUUCACUUUAACACUGAGGCGUGACGACGAGGCACUACGGUGCUGAAGCAACAAAUGCCCUGCUUCCAGGAAAAGCCUCUAAGCAUCAGGUAACAUCAAAUCGUACCCCAAACCGACACAGGUGGUCAGGUAGAGAAUACCAAGGCGCUUGAGAGAACUCGGGUGAAGGAACUAGGCAAAAUGGUGCCGUAACUUCGGGAGAAGGCACGCUGACACGUAGGUGAAGUGAUUUACUCAUGGAGCUGAAGUCAGUCGAAGAUACCAGCUGGCUGCAACUGUUUAUUAAAAACACAGCACUGUGCAAACACGAAAGUGGACGUAUACGGUGUGACGCCUGCCCGGUGCCGGAAGGUUAAUUGAUGGGGUCAGCGCAAGCGAAGCUCCUGAUCGAAGCCCCGGUAAACGGCGGCCGUAACUAUAACGGUCCUAAGGUAGCGAAAUUCCUUGUCGGGUAAGUUCCGACCUGCACGAAUGGCGUAAUGAUGGCCAGGCUGUCUCCACCCGAGACUCAGUGAAAUUGAACUCGCUGUGAAGAUGCAGUGUACCCGCGGCAAGACGGAAAGACCCCGUGAACCUUUACUAUAGCUUGACACUGAACAUUGAGCCUUGAUGUGUAGGAUAGGUGGGAGGCUUUGAAGUGUGGACGCCAGUCUGCAUGGAGCCGACCUUGAAAUACCACCCUUUAAUGUUUGAUGUUCUAACGUGGACCCGUUACCCGGGUUGCGGACAGUGUCUGGUGGGUAGUUUGACUGGGGCGGUCUCCUCCUAAAGAGUAACGGAGGAGCACGAAGGUUGGCUAAUCCUGGUCGGACAUCAGGAGGUUAGUGCAAUGGCAUAAGCCAGCUUGACUGCGAGCGUGACGGCGCGAGCAGGUGCGAAAGCAGGUCAUAGUGAUCCGGUGGUUCUGAAUGGAAGGGCCAUCGCUCAACGGAUAAAAGGUACUCCGGGGAUAACAGGCUGAUACCGCCCAAGAGUUCAUAUCGACGGCGGUGUUUGGCACCUCGAUGUCGGCUCAUCACAUCCUGGGGCUGAAGUAGGUCCCAAGGGUAUGGCUGUUCGCCAUUUAAAGUGGUACGCGAGCUGGGUUUAGAACGUCGUGAGACAGUUCGGUCCCUAUCUGCCGUGGGCGCUGGAGAACUGAGGGGGGCUGCUCCUAGUACGAGAGGACCGGAGUGGACGCAUCACUGGUGUUCGGGUUGUCAUGCCAAUGGCACUGCCCGGUAGCUAAAUGCGGAAGAGAUAAGUGCUGAAAGCAUCUAAGCACGAAACUUGCCCCGAGAUGAGUUCUCCCUGAGACUUA
rnacentral:rRNA from 1 species